rnacentral:miRNA from 13 species
CUGGGAGGGGGAUGUUUGCUUC